rnacentral:rRNA from 1 species
UUGAACGCUGGCGGCAGGCCUAACACAUGCAAGUCGAGCGGUAGCACAGAGAGCUUGCUCUCGGGUGACGAGCGGCGGACGGGUGAGUAAUGUCUGGGAAACUGCCUGAUGGAGGGGGAUAACUACUGGAAACGGUAGCUAAUACCGCAUAACGUCGCAAGACCAAAGUGGGGGACCUUCGGGCCUCAUGCCAUCAGAUGUGCCCAGAUGGGAUUAGCUAGUAGGUGGGGUAACGGCUCACCUAGGCGACGAUCCCUAGCUGGUCUGAGAGGAUGACCAGCCACACUGGAACUGAGACACGGUCCAGACUCCUACGGGAGGCAGCAGUGGGGAAUAUUGCACAAUGGGCGCAAGCCUGAUGCAGCCAUGCCGCGUGUGUGAAGAAGGCCUUCGGGUUGUAAAGCACUUUCAGCGGGGAGGAAGGCGGUGAGGUUAAUAACCUCAUCGAUUGACGUUACCCGCAGAAGAAGCACCGGCUAACUCCGUGCCAGCAGCCGCGGUAAUACGGAGGGUGCAAGCGUUAAUCGGAAUUACUGGGCGUAAAGCGCACGCAGGCGGUCUGUCAAGUCGGAUGUGAAAUCCCCGGGCUCAACCUGGGAACUGCAUUCGAAGCUGGCAGGCUAGAGUCUUGUAGAGGGGGGUAGAAUUCCAGGUGUAGCGGUGAAAUGCGUAGAGAUCUGGAGGAAUACCGGUGGCGAAGGCGGCCCCCUGGACAAAGACUGACGCUCAGGUGCGAAAGCGUGGGGAGCAAACAGGAUUAGAUACCCUGGUAGUCCACGCCGUAAACGAUGUCGAUUUGGAGGUUGUGCCCUUGAGGCGUGGCUUCCGGAGCUAACGCGUUAAAUCGACCGCCUGGGGAGUACGGCCGCAAGGUUAAAACUCAAAUGAAUUGACGGGGGCCCGCACAAGCGGUGGAGCAUGUGGUUUAAUUCGAUGCAACGCGAAGAACCUUACCUGGUCUUGACAUCCACAGAACUUUCCAGAGAUGGAUUGGUGCCUUCGGGAACUGUGAGACAGGUGCUGCAUGGCUGUCGUCAGCUCGUGUUGUGAAAUGUUGGGUUAAGUCCCGCAACGAGCGCAACCCUUAUCCUUUGUUGCCAGCGGUUAGGCCGGGAACUCAAAGGAGACUGCCAGUGAUAAACUGGAGGAAGGUGGGGAUGACGUCAAGUCAUCAUGGCCCUUACGACCAGGGCUACACACGUGCUACAAUGGCAUAUACAAAGAGAAGCGACCUCGCGAGAGCAAGCGGACCUCAUAAAGUAUGUCGUAGUCCGGAUUGGAGUCUGCAACUCGACUCCAUGAAGUCGGAAUCGCUAGUAAUCGUAGAUCAGAAUGCUACGGUGAAUACGUUCCCGGGCCUUGUACACACCGCCCGUCACACCAUGGGAGUGGGUUGCAAAAGAAGUAGGUAGCUUAAUCUUCGGGAGGGCGCUUACCACUUUGUGAUUCAUGACUGGGGUG